rnacentral:pre_miRNA from 1 species
AUAAUACUCCCUCCGUCUGGAAUUACUUGUCAUCAAAAUGGAUGUGUCUAGAACUAAAAUACAUCUAGAUACAUCCAUUUCAAUGAAAAGUAUUUUCGGACGGAGGGAGUAGUAG